rnacentral:rRNA from 1 species
GACGUAGGGGGCUAGCGUUGUCCGGAAUUAUUGGGCGUAAAGGGCUCGUAGGCGGUUUGUCGCGUCGGGAGUGAAAAUCCAGGGCUUAACUCUGGACUGGCUUCCGAUACGGGCAGACUAGAGGUAUGCAGGGGAGAACGGAAUUCCUGGUGUAGCGGUGAAAUGCGCAGAUAUCAGGAGGAACACCGGUGGCGAAGGCGGUUCUCUGGGCAUUACCUGACGCUGAGGAGCGAAAGUGUGGGGAGCGAACAGG